CCUGCCUUACAAAAUCUCUGGUUGGAAUCCUGUCAUAAAUAAGCUCCCAUGAACCCCACAGCACCUGUUUCCCCCAUUCACCCCAGGCCACUCUCCCAGCCUGUUCUGGCCUCCACCUGAAUCCUGGGGCUCUGAUCCUUCCCUAAACCAUGGCAGGAUUCCUGAUGCUUUGCUUGGACUCACCUGGCCAUCUCUUCGGGCCAGCUCUGGACCAGAGCGCCAUCAGAGCCCCUCCCACCUGGCAAAUACUGGCAAUUGAAAAGGCUUGUAGUCAGGGUGGUGUGAAGAGCUGUGUGUGUUUGUGAGGACAAAUGUGUUGGGGGAAGAAAAAGCACUGAAGUUGGCAAAAUCCAUUAUUGUCUGGCAAGCCAAGUGAUGAUAAGAAUCUUUAUCUGCUCCUUUUGGAUGAGAAGGUGAGUCUUGCUGUCCUGGGAAACAGUGGGAACAGUUUGACCCCAGACAGGCUCAGUCUGAAGUUUUAUCCACAGUGAAUAUGGUUCAUCAUCACCAAGCCAGGUGCUCAUUAUCUUGUAUUUAUCUUCGAGAGAGAUAAAGGUGGAGAAAGCUGUGGUCUUGGUUGGCUUGCCCGUAAACUUGGAAGACAGUGUUGGGUAACUACAUUAUUCUAAAGGGCUGGACCCUCACCAAGAUAAUCAGGGCUGGAAGCAGGUGAAUAUCCUGUUUACUUCAGGGAAGGAGGAUGAGGGCUGGUCUGAUGGGAGGACCCUGAGCUCCGUGCAGAGGAGAACGGACAUGGGCAUGGAGAAGUAACCCAGCAUGGCCACCACCAUCUUGUCUCUGGUGUCCCUGCUGCUGCAUGAAAGCUGCCUUCAUCCACGCACUCAGGACGACACCCAAGUUAGAACCUUGGUUAUCUUGUGAAGGAAAUGUAGAAAGCCUGGUACAGGUUAAGUUACCAAGUAAGGGGAAUGUUGCCUGGCUUCUUCUUAUUCCAGAAGAGGCAAUGUCAUAGCCCUCUUGGCAAUUUUUCGAAAGUCCUACAUGCACGUCUUUGAACCCCCGGGUGCAUUUUCCAAGGGUCUUUUCUCUUUUAAGAGAACAUUCCAGAUCAUUGUAAGUGGUGACUUUAAACUCUUCACCCCUUUCAUUAUCAAAAGACUGGAUUUCAGAGAGGAAUGUAAGUGUCUUCUGACACAGCCUUCAGACAACCUGCUCUUAUAGGAUGACUCACUUCACAGCGGCUGGGUUUUAAUGCCAUGUUGCACUGAGCGGGGCUGCUUCUAGAUGCCUGAUCUUGAAUUACAUGCAUAAAUCUUUAAAAACAUAUAGUAGAAUGGGCUGUGUUUAUUUUUAGUGAGUUUCUC